UACGUAGGUGACCAGCGUUGUCCGGAUUUACUGGGCGUAAAGAGCGCGCAGGCGGUCGUUCAAGUCGAGUGUGAAAGCCCCCGGCUCAACUGGGGGAGGGUCAUUCGAUACUGAUCGACUCGAAGGCAGGAGAGGGUAGUGGAAUUCCCGGUGUAGUGGUGAAAUGCGUAGAUAUCGGGAGGAACACCAGUGGCGAAGGCGACUACCUGGCCUGUUCUUGACGCUGAGGCGCGAAAGCUAGGGGAGCAAACGGGGAUUAAGAUGACCCGGGUAGUCCCGAGCA
rnacentral:rRNA from 1 species